CGUGAGGACCUGAGUGUUCAGAGCUUUAAAAAAUGGUGUGGCCAUGCGGAUCUGUAACUCUAGAGGACAUUCUGGACUCUGAUGCAUUCUCUCAUAUUCUAAUAUGGACUGAAGUGGAAGUUUCUGGGCAUGUCAUGUGAUGCAGACGCAUGUGGUAUCUUGCUGAGUGAGGUAGACUCACAUGGUAUUUUGCUGAGGUUGGAAAGACACAUGAUGUUUGGAGAGAGUAUAACUAGGACUCAAUGGACAGCGAUGUCCCGCUUGCAUAGUGAUCCUGGCAACACUUUUUUGUUCUUGACUCUUCACUGAUCUUCACUUCAUUGAGAGAGGCAUGGCCGAGAACUCCUGGCAUCCUGUAUGCUCCUGAGGCCUGGCUAUUUCUGCUGGAUCGGGCCACUGAUGCUGAAUUGUAUUUGGUAUCCUGACACUCCUGAGCUAGACUGCUGGUAUCCUGACAAAUGGAGAUUGGAAUCGCCCCCAAAGAACUACUUUAAACAACUGCUUCCACCUUGAAAGACACCCACACCUCAGGGCUUAUCCUCCUAAAUGGUUUACAUGGCUUGUGUGAGGUACCUGGGAGCUUUGAGAAUCUGUGUUUGCCUGGCUUAGCAAAGUGUGUCAUCAAAAGCCUGGAGGAGACCCACACUCAGGAAUGGCUUGACAAUUCUCCAAGAACAACCCAGGCAGCUUUGAAGGAGUUUAUACCAGUGGAUUCAUCCCCCUGCAAGGGAACUUUAUUGGCCUGUUGCUCACAGAAAAUACAAUGGAAAGAACACAAUGUUUAGUUCAACACACGAUAGAAAGAGAAAAUAAUUCACAACAAGAAAAUAUCACUCAAAGAACAAAAAUCACAUAAAAUGAAAACAAGAAACUGGGGCAAGGCAAGGAGAGAGACUCCAUAUUGCUAAAAGGAUGAGUUAAUGAAUUUACCAUGACUGAGUGGAAAGGUUUGGUUCUGAAGCAGCAAGAGCAAAAAUAAGUACCAUUUUUUUUUUACUAUUUUACUAACAACAAUAAUAAGUAAACACAAUGCUGCUAACAGAAAAUCGAUGAAAAAUGAUUUUUAUAAGAGACUUCUUCCAUUUCUACAGUCUUUUAUCUAAGACAGUAAGAAAUAGUUUCUCUUUUGGACUGAAAUUCAGGGGUCCUGGCUCAGCAUGCAUAAGGCCCAAGGUUCAACCCUCAGCACUGUAGGAGAAAACCAAAGCAAUUAUCUUCACAUUAUGAUCAAUUCCAAAAACAGGGACACCAUUCCUGUGUUCAACAAUGGUAGUUUUGAAACUUCAGUGUGAUGAUGAGUAUAAUAGCCAACAUGACAAAAUCUAGAACCACUCAGAAAUGGAGUCUCAGAGAGGGGCAUUCUAGAUCAAAUGGUAUGUGGGAAAUCUUGAUUAUAGUCAUUGAAGAGGGAAGACUGAGUCAUUGAGGGUGGCACCAUUCCCUAGGCAGGGGGAUCCUAGACUCUAACAGUGGGGAAAGUCAAGUGAACACUAGCAUGCAUGCAACCAUUGUUCUCCAUUUCUCAAUAAGGAAGUUAUGCAACCAGAUCCGCCAAGCUCCUUCCACCUGUGACAUCCUUGCUAUCAUGGACUGAAACCUGGAACUGUGAGCUGAAAUAAACCCUUUCUCCCUUAACCUUCUUUGACACAGUAUUUUGUCUUAGCAGCAGAAAAGAAUGGAAGACAUUGAAAUCUGGAUGUCCCAGAGUGCUGAUCUCUGCCUUUAUUCCCCAGUGUGUCUGAUUGCCUCUACCCUGAGGAUUUACAUUUCCACACAAGCUUCCAGGUGACGCCGAUGCUGUUGAUCUGGGAUGUGACCAUACUGUGAGAACCGUUGCUCUUGAGCAUGACUGCGGAGUGACAUCUGAGAAGAGCUGUGAGUGGCCUGUUGGAAACAGCUUUAAAAGAACAAUGUCUUCUUGGGGCUACACGAUUGCUCAGUGGUUAGGACACUCAUCACCAAGCCUGACAAUCUGGGUUUGAUUCCUGGAACCCACAUGAUGGAAGGAGAAAAACAUCUCCUGCAAGUUGUCCUCUGACCCUGACACAUGUGCUAUGGCAUUCACAAGCACAUAAAAAUAUUUGUUUAAUGUCAUAAUGAACUGUUCUUUAAUGGCAGUGACCUGUAUAACUUCAGUACCAAAGCCAAGAAACUGACUUGGCAAAAGCCUCUGAUGGCUGAGUUCACCAGUUUUAUAUGCAUCUGUGCAUACAUGUGUGUGUGUGUGUGUGUGUGUGUGUGUGUGUGUGUGUAUGUAUGUGUGUGUGUGUAGCUCUUUACAAUUCUGUUGUAGAUCUUUACAACUGUAUUGUGUGUGUGUGUGUGUGUGUGUUUAUGUAGCUACCACCACAACCCAGAUUGGUUGUGUAGAAGAUGACGGUUCAGUGGGUAAAGACACUGACUUGAGUUUGAACCCCAGGAUGUACAUGGUCAAAAGGGAGAAUUCACUCCUGUGGUUGACUUCUGACAUCCACUUGGCAUAAGCACACACACAUAAAACUCUGCCACAAAUAAAUAAAAAGAAAA
rnacentral:lncRNA from 1 species